UGCAGGCAACCAGCGGUCUGGACCCAAUGCUGUAGAACACCUUUCCGCUUGCACUGUGUUAAAGAAUGGCGCUUGUUCUCUUCAAGAGGUUAAGCCACGGCGGGGUUUCGCGCCCCUUCAAAAUGGCACUUGUUAACAGCUACCCCACCUCCCCGACUGUUCUGUUGGCCACUUGCGCCGGCGAUCCUCCGGCCGUGACGACCGCUAAGCCUCCGGCAGCCUCCUCCACCAAAGGCGAUUGUUCACAUGCGCCAAAAGGAUGUGAUCCUCCUGCUGCUCCAGCCAAGAAGCCCGCAGGCUGCGAUCCUCAGGCUGCUCCUGCCGUUGAGCCACCAGCAUACCCACCUCCUGGCGAUUGUCCAUGUGAUCCGCAAGAAGCACCUGUUGGUCCAGGUGAAGGAUCCCGUCAUGCUCCCACGCCCCCAAUACAGGACCCAUGAUACUUCUUGAGCAGCGACAAAAUCCCAAUGCUGUCCAGGAUAAUUUCCAGAUCUGGCAUAGAUGAAAUUCAAGUGUAGAUUUAAAGUUCAGAUAAGGGAUCUCUAGUAAUUAGUAGUAUUACAAAGGUGUAUGUGUUGCCACUUAUUGAUGUAAAUGAUUCUUCUGUACUGGGUUAUGGUUUAGAAAACUGAACGAACAUGUUCUGAUAUUACAUAUUUGUUAUGUUGUUGUUGUUGUUAAAGCUUAGUAGCAAGAAAUUAAAUUUCGGAGCUGGUAGCAACGUGGGCACUAGGGUCGGAUGGUACCACCAGAGUAAAACAAAAAAUUCCGCUGCAAUAUUGGCUAACGUUGCAUGCAACAUGACCGAUUGCAACAUGAGAAAUCAACCGAUGAAAUAUCAAAAUGUUGCACUUGCAACAUCCAAAAAAUCUCUACUGCAACACCAUGAGCCUUAGCUCCUCUACAACCUUCCCGAAGCUGCCGGCCAUGGCCGCCGCCCGGAGCUCCUCCGGGGACCAGCAGAAGUCACCCAUGGCAGGGGAGCAGCGACCGGGGGCGGGGGG